AUAACGGUCCUAAGGUAGCGAAAUUCCUUGUCAGGUAAGUUCUGACCCGCACGAAUGGCGUAACGACUUGGGAACUGUCUCAACAAGAGGCCCGGCGAAAUUGUAGUAUACGUGAAGAUGCGUAUUAACCCGCGACUGGACGGAAAGACCCCGUAGAGCUUUACUGUAACUUGAUAUUGAAUUUCGGCAACUGAUGUACAGGAUAGGUGGGAGACUGAGAAGCGGAGGCGUCAGCCUUUGUGGAGUCGCCGUUGGGAUACCACCCUUUGGUUGCUGGGGUUCUAACGUUCAGCCGUAAGCCGGCGAACGGACAGUGUCAGGUGGGCAGUUUGACUGGGGCGGUCGCCUCCCAAAACGUAACGGAGGCGCCCAAAGGUUCCCUCAGAAUGGUUGGAAAUCAUUCGCAGAGUGCAAAGGCAGAAGGGAGCUUAACUGUGAAGACAGACAUGUCGAGCAGAUACGAAAGUAGGGCUUAGUGAUCCGGCGGUAGAGAAUGGAAUUGCCGUCGCUUAACGGAUAAAAGUUACCUCGGGGAUAACAGGCUGAUCCCUCCCAAGAGUUCACAUCGACGGAGGGGUUUGGCACCUCGAUGUCGGCUCGUCACAUCCUGGGGCUGUAGCAGGUCCCAAGGGUUCGGCUGUUCGCCGAUUAAAGUGGCACGCGAGCUGGGUUCAGAACGUCGUGAGACAGUUCGGUCCCUAUCCGUCGUGGGCGCAGGAAAAUUGAGGAGAGCUAUCCUUAGUACGAGAGGACCGGGAUGGACCUACCUCUGGUGUAUCUGUUGUCACGCCAGUGGCAGUGCAGAGUAGCUAUGUAGGGAAGGGAUAAACGCUGAAAGCAUCUAAGCGUGAAGCCCCCUCCAAGAUGAGUUUUCCCAUUGUUUUAAACAAGUAAAAUCCCAAAAAGACUAUUUGGUUGAUAGGCUAGAAGUGUAAGUGUAGCGAUACAUUGAGCGGACUAGUACUAAUAGAUUGAGGAUUUAACCAU
rnacentral:rRNA from 1 species